UUGGAGGGCAAGUCUGGUGCCAGCAGCCGCGGUAAUUCCAGCUCCAAUAGCGUAUAUUAAAGUUGUUGCAGUUAAAAAGCUCGUAGUUGAAUUUCGGGGUUCUACCGUUGGUCGGGCUUUGUCUGUACUGGUGUGUAGAAUUUCUACCUUCUGGGGAACCAUCAUGCUAUUAAUUUAGCGUGGUGGGAAACCAGGACCUUUACCUUGAAAAGAUUAGUGUAUUCAAAGCAGGCUUAUGUCUGAAUACAUUAGCGUGGAAUAAUAGAAUAGGACGGUGGUCCUGUUUUGUUGGUUUCUGAAUCGCCGUAAUGAUUAAUAGGGAUAGUUGGGGGCAUUAGUAUUCAAUUGUCAGAGGUGAAAUUCUUGGAUUUAUUGAAGACUAACUUCUGCGAAAGCAUUUGCCAAGGAUGUUUUCAUUAAUCAAGAACGAAAGUUAGGGGAUCGAAGACGAUCAGAUACCGUCGUAGUCUUAACCAUAAACUAUGCCGACUAGGGAUCGGACGAUGUUAAUUUUUCUUGACUCGUUCGGCGCCUUACGGGAAAC
rnacentral:rRNA from 1 species